ACACCAUAACCAAGUGUUGUCUUUUGCGUACCAAAAUGAGUAGCUCUUAAGUUGAAAAUGAAACUUUCUCUCCGCUUGGGAGAUAUGCUCACAGUCCAUUUUCGUAUUCGCCAACUCUAGCUAUGACUGGGGUCGGUGGCAAUUUUAUUUUAUUUAUUUAUUUUUUUUUUGUCUGCGAAAUUUCUAUCUCUAUGUUGUAUUUUUCCCCUUCCUCUCAAUCUCGAUCUUUGUUCUUCACAAUCCAUCGGUGUCCCUCUUCCUGGACCAUCUUCACUUCGAUAUGUAGUCACUACUAAUCGCGAUUCGUUGCGUUUCUUUGAUUUGGUGUGUAGAGUUCCAAUGUUCUCACCGACUCAGUUUGUGGAUGCGAUCGAAGAGUUGUUCUUGGAUGGAGGUGCGAUCGGCGAGGAGAUGCUAGGUUGGGAGCGUGAGAUCUAGCGGGUCAAUGCAAUGACAUGGAGGCGGUUGCAGCAGCUGUCUCGGGUUUCUUUUCGUUUCUGUCUAGUCUGGGCUCAACUCUUGUUUGGGCUUUUGUUGUUAGUUUGAUAGGUCCAAUUUUGUAUGAAAAUUUCUGUCUUUGGGCCUUUUUUGUAAAUUUGUGAUGUUAGUAAUAAUAUUUUCAUCCGGGUAUGUGGCCUAGAUCUUGGUU